GGACCGAAUGAGUUGACUGGGUUGUAGCUGGCCUCCCGAGGCAUGUGCACGCCCUGCUCAUCCACUCUACACCUGUGCACUCACUGUGGGCUUCAGAUUGUCGUGAAGCGGGCUCCUUACCGGGCUUGUGAAGCGGUGUCUGUGCCUGCGUUUACUACAAACUAUUAAAGUAUCAGAAUGUGUAUUGCGAUGUAACGCAUCUAUAUACAACUUUCAGCAACGGAUCUCUUGGCUCUCGCAUCGAUGAAGAACGCAGCGAAAUGCGAUAAGUAAUGUGAAUUGCAGAAUUCAGUGAAUCAUCGAAUCUUUGAACGCACCUUGCGCUCCUUGGUAUUCCGAGGAGCAUGCCUGUUUGAGUGUCAUGAAAUCUUCAACCUGCAAGCUUAUGUGGUUUGUAGGCUUGGACUUGGAGGCUUUGUCGGCCAUGCCCGGUCGGCUCCUCUCAAAUGCAUUAGCUUGGUUCCUUGCGGAUCGGCUCUCGGUGUGAUAAUGUCUACGCCGUGACCGUGAAGCGUUUGGCGAGCUUCUAAUCGUCUCGGUUAGAGACAGCUUUAUGACCUCUGACCUCAAAUCAGGUAGGACUACCCGCUGAACUUAAGCAUAUCAUAAGCCGGGGAAAAAAGAAAGUCCAGUUUUGGACUGGGUUUGUACUGGGCCUCCCGAGGCAUGUGCACGCCCUGCUCAUCCACUCUACACCUGUGCACUCACUGUGGGCUUUCAAUUGUCGUGAAAGCGGGCUCUUACCGGGCUUGUGAAACGGUUGUCUGUGCUGCGUUUACUACAAACUAUUAAAGUAUCAGAAUGUGUAUUGUGAUGUUAACGCAUCUAUAUACACUUUCACAACGGAUCUUUUGGCUCUGCAUCGAUUAAUAAAACACUAAAUGCGAUAAGUAAUGUGAAUUGCC
rnacentral:sRNA from 1 species